rnacentral:lncRNA from 1 species
UGGGCUCUGGUACUUGUGGUCUAGUAUUCCUCGGUUCUGGUACUCGUGCUCUACUAUCCCUCAGUUCAGGUACUCGUGGUCUACUAUCCCUUGGUUCAGGUACUCGUGGUCUACUAUCCCUCGGCUCUGGUACUCGUGGUCUAGUAUCCCUCUGAUCAGGUAUGUCAUGUCGUGAACUGGGGCUUUCUGUUGAAGACUGAGCAGGCCUAGACAGGAAAUCACGAAGAUCCACCCCAUUCUGCUGGCCAUUGCUUUGAAC